ACUUAAAUAAUUUAAUAAAUAAAAUAUUGAUUUGUGGUAUCAAAAAUAUGAGAAGUUCAUUUUAGGUU
rnacentral:tRNA from 1 species